rnacentral:lncRNA from 1 species
CAGAUUUUCCGUUAACCGGUAAACUUCAACCUCCAUACCAAAAUUACCGUUUCGUCCUUCAAUCUCGAAGGCCCACUCUUUCUUUCUCUUCGCCCUCAGCCUCUCGGCCUUGGCGAACUCCUCAACUUUCUGGACCAAUUUUUCCGGUGACUCGGAAGACACGAAACGGUCACCGUCCUCCACCGCGUUGUACGAGUCAUCGAACAACCCGGACAAAUCCAAACCGGAUGAGAAAGAAAUGAGGUCGAAGGCGUUCAAAUUCGUGACAUCCGGUUCUUGUUUAUCGGUCUUAUCGGUAUCGUCAAUUCCAACAUAAUCAUCGUAGAACUUGAUCUCUUUGAGUCCUCCUCUCUUGAACCACGGAUCUUUCAAGAUCUCAUCGACCGUUAUUC